GUGCUCACUUCAGCAGCACAUAUAUUAAAACUGGAACAAGAUAAAGAUUUGCAUGGCCCCUAUGAGGAUGGCAUAUAAAUUCUUGAAGUAUUCCAUAUUUAG
ensembl:snRNA U6 U6 spliceosomal RNA